rnacentral:rRNA from 1 species
UUGACCUCGGAUCAGGUAGGAAGACCCGCUGAACUUAAGCAUAUCAAUAAGCGGAGGAAAAGAAACCAACAGGGAUUGCCCCAGUAACGGCGAGUGAAGCGGCAACAGCUCAAAUUUGAAAUCUGGCCUCGGCCCGAGUUGUAAUUUGCAGAGGAAGCUUUAGGCGCGGCACCUUCUGAGUCCCCUGGAACGGGGCGCCAUAGAGGGUGAGAGCCCCGUAUAGUUGGAUGCCUAGCCUGUGUAAAGCUCCUUCGACGAGUCGAGUAGUUUGGGAAUGCUGCUCAAAAUGGGAGGUAAAUUUCUUCUAAAGCUAAAUACCGGCCAGAGACCGAUAGCGCACAAGUAGAGUGAUCGAAAGAUGAAAAGCACUUUGAAAAGAGGGUUAAAUAGCACGUGAAAUUGUUGAAAGGGAAGCGCUUGUGACCAGACUUGCGCCGGGCAGAUCAUCCGGUGUUCUCACCGGUGCACUCUGACCGGCUCAGGCCAGCAUCGGUUCUCGCGGGGGGAUAAAGGCCUCGGGAACGUAGCUCCUCCGGGAGUGUUAUAGCCCGGGGCGUAAUGCCCUCGCGGGGACCGAGGUUCGCGCAUCUGCAAGGAUGCUGGCGUAAUGGUCAUCAGCGAC